GUGAGGAAUAUUGGUCAAUGGCGCUAGCCUGAACCAGCCAAGUAGCGUGAAGGAUGACUGCCCUAUGGGUUGUAAACUUCUUUUAUAUGGGAAUAAAGUGCAGUAUGUAUACUGCUUUGCAUGUACCUUAUGAAUAAGGAUCGGCUAACUCCGUGCCAGCAGCGCGGUAAUCGA
rnacentral:rRNA from 1 species